GAUGAACGCUGGCGGCGUGCCUAAUACAUGCAAGUCGAGCGAAUGGAUUAAGAGCUUGCUCUUAUGAAGUUAGCGGCGGACGGGUGAGUAACACGUGGGUAACCUGCCCAUAAGACUGGGAUAACUCCGGGAAACCGGGGCUAAUACCGGAUAAUAUUUUGAACUGCAUGGUUCAAAAUUGAAAGGCGGCUUCGGCUGUCACUUAUGGCUGGACCCGCGUCGCAUUAGCUAGUUGGUGAGGUAACGGCUCACCAAGGCAACGAUGCGUAGCCGACCGGAGAGGGUGAUCGGCCACGCUGGGACUGAGACACGGCCCAGACUCCUACGGGAGGCAGCAGUAGGGAAUCUUCCGCAAUGGACGAAAGUCUGACGGAGCAACGCCGCGUGAGUGAUGAAGGCUUUCGGGUCGUAAAACUCUGUUGUUAGGGAAGAACAAGUGCUAGUUGAAUAAGCUGGCACCUUGACGGUACCUAACCAGAAAGCCACGGCUAACUACGUGCCAGCCGCCGCGGUAA
rnacentral:rRNA from 1 species